CCUUAGAGUGGUCUCAUUAUGCUGCUCCUCCUAUCUGUGUGGGAGCCAAUCUAAGGGGUUUAUCACCCUUCUGUGAGCUUACAGAUACAUAGUGGACUGGUUAAAUGGCUUCAAAGGUGGCACUGCACUCCACUAUGCAGUAUUUUACGAAUGAUUAUACAUUAUCAGCUUCUGAAACUGAUCACCAGGGAUCAACAGGACAUUCUUGCUGAGAGAUUCAUUUGCUAAAGUACUUGUGGAAAGGGCAGAAAUGCAUACAAAGUGAAUUAGAUUGAAUUUGUUUGAGCAAAUACUGGUGGACGAAUAUUCCCAUCCAUAGGAACCAUACAUGUACCAGGGAUUUUGUCUAAAGACUCGACAAAUUUCAAGUGCAACUGAAAUCAGGAUCUCUUUUUAAAAGAUUGGACUUAGAUGUACCAACUGUAAAACAAUGUUCUCCAUGAAGAAUAGCAUACCACUGUUUACCCCAUCACCGUGUUACCCCACCACCUUUAAGUUAUAGGUAGAUUCUGUUCCCAGGACAUUCACUUCUCUGGUGGAGUCGCACAGGAAUAUUCAACGUGGAGCAGGGGUUGUGCUCCCUUUUCUUUCCACACCCAGUCAGAAUGAGCAGAACUCUGAGCUUCUAGAAUUUGAAAUGCUAUUGCCUGAUUUUGUUUGCCAUUUGAUUAAGCCACCUUUAUUCAGACAAAUUCUUUCAAACAUCAAUAAAAGGAUUUCAUGUAUUAAAACUACAGGAUUGGGCCCUUUAAUAGGAAAACAAUGCAAAAAAAUUCCACUCAAUACCCAAAUCUCCUCUCACUCCCCUGGUUUUAUGCCCUUGUUGCUCCACAUGGGUGUGAGUGAGGUUAUAACAAAGCCCCAAACAGGUAGAAAUCAAGUUAAUGCUGUGGAGUUUAUCGCAGUUGUCAAGAAUAUUCUCCCAUUCAUGUGACUUUCUGCAGCAAUGACUAGCUCAGGAGCAACAUUUCAUAUUUUUCACUAAUGCUUUAAUUGAAUUUAAGGAAUUGGUUAUGUUUUGCAAAGGCAUAAAUACCACAUGAAUGGUGUUCCUUCACAAAGAUUAUUACUGAGUGGAUCAGAUAAAUAUGGCCCACAAAUGUGCUGAUUUACUCCAUCUUGUAAAGCAAAACAAUUUACGUAUACAAUUUAAACAUUCUUUCUCCUUUUUUUCCACUAACCACAUCCCUUGUGUGUAUAAUUGAGAUUUCCUUGCCACCCAGAAGAUAGCAAGAGUGCUCUUUAGGGCUUCAUAUCUUUUCUAACUGGGCACAGCUGGAGCAGUGCGCUGUCGUCUUUAGAAACAUGAUCUGUGUGUGUAUGUGCUUGUGUUGGGUUUGCUUUAACUCCUGUCAGAUGCUGCACACCUCUCACAACACUAGGGAGCAGGCUGACACAACUCUUAUUGAUAU